rnacentral:rRNA from 1 species
AUUGAACGCUGGCGGCAGGCCUAACACAUGCAAGUCGAGCGGUAGCACAGAGAGCUUGCUCUCGGGUGACGAGCGGCGGACGGGUGAGUAAUGUCUGGGAAACUGCCUGAUGGAGGGGGAUAACUACUGGAAACGGUAGCUAAUACCGCAUAACGUCGCAAGACCAAAGUGGGGGACCUUCGGGCCUCAUGCCAUCAGAUGUGCCCAGAUGGGAUUAGCUAGUAGGUGGGGUAACGGCUCACCUAGGCGACGAUCCCUAGCUGGUCUGAGAGGAUGACCAGCCACACUGGAACUGAGACACGGUCCAGACUCCUACGGGAGGCAGCAGUGGGGAAUAUUGCACAAUGGGCGCAAGCCUGAUGCAGCCAUGCCGCGUGUGUGAAGAAGGCCUUCGGGUUGUAAAGCACUUUCAGCGGGGAGGAAGGCGGUGAGGUUAAUAACCUCAUCGAUUGACGUUACCCGCAGAAGAAGCACCGGCUAACUCCGUGCCAGCAGCCGCGGUAAUACGGAGGGUGCAAGCGUUAAUCGGAAUUACUGGGCGUAAAGCGCACGCAGGCGGUCUGUCAAGUCGGAUGUGAAAUCCCCGGGCUCAACCUGGGAACUGCAUUCGAAACUGGCAGGCUAGAGUCUUGUAGAGGGGGGUAGAAUUCCAGGUGUAGCGGUGAAAUGCGUAGAGAUCUGGAGGAAUACCGGUGGCGAAGGCGGCCCCCUGGACAAAGACUGACGCUCAGGUGCGAAAGCGUGGGGAGCAAACAGGAUUAGAUACCCUGGUAGUCCACGCCGUAAACGAUGUCGAUUUGGAGGUUGUGCCCUUGAGGCGUGGCUUCCGGAGCUAACGCGUUAAAUCGACCGCCUGGGGAGUACGGCCGCAAGGUUAAAACUCAAAUGAAUUGACGGGGGCCCGCACAAGCGGUGGAGCAUGUGGUUUAAUUCGAUGCAACGCGAAGAACCUUACCUGGUCUUGACAUCCACAGAACUUAGCAGAGAUGCUUUGGUGCCUUCGGGAACUGUGAGACAGGUGCUGCAUGGCUGUCGUCAGCUCGUGUUGUGAAAUGUUGGGUUAAGUCCCGCAACGAGCGCAACCCUUAUCCUUUGUUGCCAGCGGUUAGGCCGGGAACUCAAAGGAGACUGCCAGUGAUAAACUGGAGGAAGGUGGGGAUGACGUCAAGUCAUCAUGGCCCUUACGACCAGGGCUACACACGUGCUACAAUGGCAUAUACAAAGAGAAGCGACCUCGCGAGAGCAAGCGGACCUCAUAAAGUAUGUCGUAGUCCGGAUUGGAGUCUGCAACUCGACUCCAUGAAGUCGGAACCGCUAGUAAUCGUAGAUCAGAAUGCUACGGUGAAUACGUUCCCGGGCCUUGUACACACCGCCCGUCACACCAUGGGAGUGGGUUGCAAAAGAAGUAGGUAGCUUAACCUUCGGGAGGGCGCUUACCACUUUGUGAUUCAUGACUGGGGUGA